rnacentral:tRNA from 1 species
CAGAAGAUAGUUUAGCUUAAGAAUGUCAGCUUUGGGAGUUGGCGGUGGAGGUUUAAAUCCUCUUCUUCUGA